rnacentral:rRNA from 1 species
UACAGAGGGUGCGAGCGUUGUUCGGAUUCAUUGGGCGUAAAGGGUGUGUAGGUGGCGCGCUAAGUCGGGUGUGAAAUUUCGGAGCUUAACCUCCGAAACUGCAUUCGAUACUGGCGUGCUUGAGGACUGGAGAGGAGACUGGAAUUCAUGGUGUAGCAGUGAAAUGCGUAGAGAUCAUGAGGAAGACCAGUGGCGAAGGCGGGUCUCUGGACAGUUCCUGACACUGAGACACGAAGGCCAGGGGAGCAAACGGG